rnacentral:rRNA from 1 species
GACGAACGCUGGCGGCGUGCCUAAUACAUGCAAGUCGAACGAACCGCGACUAAGUGCUUGCACUAAGUCAAGGUGAGUGGCGAACGGGUGAGUAACACGUGGGUAACCUACCUCAUAGUGGGGGAUAACAGUCGGAAACGACUGCUAAUACCGCAUAGGACAUAGGAUCACAUGAUCCAGUGAGGAAAGGUGGCGCAAGCUAUCGCUAAGAGAUGGACCCGCGGUGCAUUAGCUAGUUGGUAGGGUAAAGGCCUACCAAGGCGAUGAUGCAUAGCCGACCUGAGAGGGUGAUCGGCCACAUUGGGACUGAGACACGGCCCAAACUCCUACGGGAGGCAGCAGUAGGGAAUCUUCCGCAAUGGACGCAAGUCUGACGGAGCAACGCCGCGUGAGUGAAGAAGGUCUUCGGAUCGUAAAGCUCUGUUGUUAGAGAAGAACAGCGCAUAGAGUAACUGCCAUGCGUGUGACGGUAUCUAACCAGAAAGCCACGGCUAACUACGUG